ACGAGUUACUUUUCUCUGGCAAGGUUAAGUGUUUAAGACGCGAAGCCGAAGCGAAAGCGAGUCUGAAUAGGGCGAUUCAGUCGCAUGUCCUAGACCCGAAGCGAAGUGAUCUAUCCAUGGGCAGGUUGAAGCGCGGGUAAGACCGCGUGGAGGACCGAACCCACUUGGGUUGAAAACCGAGGGGAUGACCUGUGGUUAGGGGUGAAAGGCCAAUCAAACUUCGUGAUAGCUGGUUCUCUCCGAAAUGCAUUUAGGUGCAGCGUUGCGUGUUUCUUGCCGGAGGUAGAGCUACUGGAUGGCCGAUGGGCCCUACAAGGUUACUGACGUCAGCCAAACUCCGAAUGCCGGUAAGUGAGAGCGCAGCAGUGAGACUGCGGGGGAUAAGCUUCGUAGUCGAGAGGGAAACAGCCCAGAUCGCCGGUUAAGGCCCCUAAGGGUGUGCUAAGUGGAAAAGGAUGUGGGAUCGCGAAGACAGCCAGGAGGUUGGCUUAGAAGCAGCCAUCCUUGAAAGAGUGCGUAAUAGCUCACUGGUCGAGAGGCCUUGCGCCGAAGAUGUCCGGGGCUCAAGUACAGAACCGAAGUCGCGGCAGGAUUUAUAAUUCUGGGUAGGGGAGCGUUGUAUAUCCGACUGAAGGUGUACCGGAAGGAGCGCUGGAGGAUAUACAAGAGAGAAUGCCGGUAUGAGUAGCGAAAAGAACAGUGAGAAUCUGUUCCACCGAAAGCCUAAGGUUUCCUGAGCAACGCUCGUCGACUCAGGGUAAGUCGGGACCUAAGCCGAGGCAAAAAGCAUAGGCGAUGGACAACAGGUUAAUAUUCCUGUACCGC
rnacentral:rRNA from 1 species